GAGUUUGGAAUUCUUCAGGGGUAAAGUGUUUUGAGUUUGGAAUUCUUCAGGGGUAAAGGAUUUUGAGCUUGGAAUUCUUCAGGGGUAAAGUGCUUUGAGCUUGGAAUUCUUCAGGGGUAAAGUGUUUUGAGUUUGCAAUUCUUCAGGGGUAAAGGAUUCGAGCUUGGAAUUCUUCAGGGGUAAAGAGGUUUGAGAUUGAAAUUUUUCAGAGUUUGGAAUUCUUCAGGGGUAAAGUGUUUUGAGUUUGGAAUUCUUCAGGGGUAAAGGAUUUUGAGCUUGGAAUUCUUCAGGGAUAAAGUGUUUUGAGUUUGGAAUUCUUCAGGGGUAAAGGAUUCGAGCUUGGAAUUCUUCAGGGGUAAAGAGGUUUGAGAUCGAAAUUUUUCAGAGUUUGGAAUUCUUCAGGGGUAAAGUGUUUUGAGUUUGGAAUUCUUCAGGGGUAACGUGUUUUGAGCUUGGAAUUCUUCAGGGGUAAAGGAUUUUGAGCUUGGAAUUCUUCAGGGGUAUAACUAUGAAAAACAUGUAUCCUCGACAGGGGGGGUACGGAUAUUAAAUGGAAUAGCCCAAUUUGCCAAACUCAGAAGUAAAAGAUUCCUGCCCUUUCUUAGCGUUUCCUUGGUAACAAACAGCAAGAUGGCGAACAUAUUUGAAAUGAUG
rnacentral:lncRNA from 1 species